rnacentral:rRNA from 1 species
UACGUAGGCAGCGAGCGUUGUUCGGAGUUACUGGGCGUAAAGGGUGUGUAGGCGGUUCUCUAAGUUUGGUGUGAAAUCUCUCGGCUCAACCGGGAGAGGUUGUCCGAUACUGCUGGACUUGAGGGCAGUAGAGGGUGGUGGAAUUCCGGGUGUAGUGGUGAAAUGCGUAGAUAUCCGGAGGAACACCAGUGGCGAAGGCGAGUCCCUGGACAACUCCUGACACUGAGGCACGAAAGCUAGGGGAGCAAACAGG